UAAAAGUUCUGCCGGAGGGGGAGUGGUUCCAGAAUGAGAGCAGAGGGGGAGAGGAGGCUGAGAGGGGCGCAAGGUGAGCCUUCCUUGGGGAACAUAGGACCAACCAAGAGGAGCAACCACAGGAGUACUCCAUCCAGAAGCCAGCCUAUUAUGCAGACUCUGACGGCCGGGUCCGAGGGGGGGUGGGAAGGGAAGAAGAGGAGGAGGAGGAAACAGAAUCAUGGAUACUACCAGUAGCUUCAACCUGAGGGGCAAGAGAAUAUGCCACAGUGGAAUAGGCAUCUCCCCUGAGGAGAAGAGAGGAGGCUGUGGGCUCUGGAACUGGGGCUCUGUUCAAGACCCUAUGGCCAUGGGGUGAGUACCACAUAAAAAAAGUCCCUCUUAAGAAAUUAAACAAAAUUUGCAGGAGCUGUAGGUAGACUGGACUUCUGUAGACCC